GGGCGCACGGUGGAUGCCUUGACACUAGGAGUCGAUGAAGGACGGGACUAACGCCGAUAUGCUUCGGGGAGCUGUAAGUAAGCUUUGAUCCGAAGAUUUCCGAAUGGGGAAACCCACCAUACGUAAUGGUAUGGUAUCCUUAUCUGAAUACAUAGGGUAAGGAAGAUAGACCCAGGGAACUGAAACAUCUAAGUACCUGGAGGAAGAGAAAGCAAAUGCGAUUUCCUGAGUAGCGGCGAGCGAAACGGAACAUAGCCCAAACCAAGAGGCUUGCCUCUUGGGGUUGUAGGACAUUCUAUACGGAGUUACAAAGGAACGAGGUAGACGAAGCGACCUGGAAAGGUCCGUCGUAGAGGGUAACAACCCCGUAGUCGAAACUUCGUUCUCUCUUGAAUGUAUCCUGAGUACGGCGGAACACGUGAAAUUCCGUCGGAAUCUGGGAGGACCAUCUCCCAAGGCUAAAUACUCCCUAGUGAUCGAUAGUGAACCAGUACCGUGAGGGAAAGGUGAAAAGCACCCCGGAAGGGGAGUGAAAGAGAUCCUGAAACCGUGUGCCUACAAAUAGUCAGAGCCCGUUAACGGGUGAUGGCGUGCCUUUUGUAGAAUGAACCGGCGAGUUACGAUCCCGUGCGAGGUUAAGCUGAAGAGGCGGAGCCGCAGCGAAAGCGAGUCUGAAUAGGGCGUUUAGUACGUGGUCGUAGACCCGAAACCAGGUGAUCUACCCAUGUCCAGGGUGAAGUUCAGGUAACACUGAAUGGAGGCCCGAACCCACGCACGUUGAAAAGUGCGGGGAUGAGGUGUGGGUAGCGGAGAAAUUCCAAUCGAACCUGGAGAUAGCUGGUUCUCCCCGAAAUAGCUUUAGGGCUAGCCUUAAGUGUAAGAGUCUUGGAGGUAGAGCACUGAUUGGACUAGGGGUCCUCAUCGGAUUACCGAAUUCAGUCAAACUCCGAAUGCCAAUGACUUAUCCUUAGGAGUCAGACUGCGAGUGAUAAGAUCCGUAGUCAAAAGGGAAACAGCCCAGACCGCCAGCUAAGGUCCCAAAGUGUGUAUUAAGUGGAAAAGGAUGUGGAGUUGCUUAGACAACUAGGAUGUUGGCUUAGAAGCAGCCACCAUUUAAAGAGUGCGUAAUAGCUCACUAGUCGAGUGACUCUGCGCCGAAAAUGUACCGGGGCUAAAUACACCACCGAAGCUGCGGAUUGAUACCAAUGGUAUCAGUGGUAGGGGAGCGUUCUAAGGACAGUGAAGUCAGACCGGAAGGACUGGUGGAGUGCUUAGAAGUGAGAAUGCCGGUAUGAGUAGCGAAAGACGGGUGAGAAUCCCGUCCACCGAAUGCCUAAGGUUUCCUGAGGAAGGCUCGUCCGCUCAGGGUUAGUCAGGACCUAAGCCGAGGCCGACAGGCGUAGGCGAUGGACAACAGGUUGAUAUUCCUGUACCACCUCUUUAUCGUUUGAGCAAUGGAGGGACGCAGAAGGAUAGAAGAAGCGUGCGAUUGGUUGUGCACGUCCAAGCAGUUAGGCUGAUAAGUAGGCAAAUCCGCUUAUCGUGAAGGCUGAGCUGUGAUGGGGAAGCUCCUUAUGGAGCGAAGUCUUUGAUUCCCCGCUGCCAAGAAAAGCUUCUAGCGAGAUAAAAGGUGCCUGUACCGCAAACCGACACAGGUAGGCGAGGAGAGAAUCCUAAGGUGUGCGAGAGAACUCUGGUUAAGGAACUCGGCAAAAUGACCCCGUAACUUCGGGAGAAGGGGUGCUUUCUUAACGGAAAGCCGCAGUGAAUAGGCCCAAGCGACUGUUUAGCAAAAACACAGCUCUCUGCGAAGCCGUAAGGCGAAGUAUAGGGGGUGACACCUGCCCGGUGCUGGAAGGUUAAGGAGAGGGGUUAGCGUAAGCGAAGCUCUGAACUGAAGCCCCAGUAAACGGCGGCCGUAACUAUAACGGUCCUAAGGUAGCGAAAUUCCUUGUCGGGUAAGUUCCGACCCGCACGAAAGGUGUAACGAUUUGGGCACUGUCUCAACCAGAGACUCGGUGAAAUUAUAGUACCUGUGAAGAUGCAGGUUACCCGCGACAGGACGGAAAGACCCCGUGGAGCUUUACUGUAGCCUGAUAUUGAAUUUUGGUACAGUUUGUACAGGAUAGGCGGGAGCCAUUGAAACCGGAGCGCUAGCUUCGGUGGAGGCGCUGGUGGGAUACCGCCCUGACUGUAUUGAAAUUCUAACCUACGGGUCUUAUCGACCCGGGAGACAGUGUCAGGUGGGCAGUUUGACUGGGGCGGUCGCCUCCUAAAGUGUAACGGAGGCGCCCAAAGGUUCCCUCAGAAUGGUUGGAAAUCAUUCGUAGAGUGCAAAGGCAUAAGGGAGCUUGACUGCGAGACCUACAAGUCGAGCAGGGACGAAAGUCGGGCUUAGUGAUCCGGUGGUUCCGCAUGGAAGGGCCAUCGCUCAACGGAUAAAAGCUACCCCGGGGAUAACAGGCUUAUCUCCCCCAAGAGUCCACAUCGACGGGGAGGUUUGGCACCUCGAUGUCGGCUCAUCGCAUCCUGGGGCUGUAGUCGGUCCCAAGGGUUGGGCUGUUCGCCCAUUAAAGCGGUACGCGAGCUGGGUUCAGAACGUCGUGAGACAGUUCGGUCCCUAUCCGUCGUGGGCGUAGGAAAUUUGAGAGGAGCUGUCCUUAGUACGAGAGGACCGGGAUGGACGCACCGCUGGUGUACCAGUUGUUCUGCCAAGGGCAUAGCUGGGUAGCUAUGUGCGGAAGGGAUAAGUGCUGAAAGCAUCUAAGCAUGAAGCCCCCCUCAAGAUGAGAUUUCCCAUAGCGUAAGCUAGUAAGAUCCCUGAAAGAUGAUCAGGUUGAUAGGUUCGAGGUGGAAGCAUGGUGACAUGUGGAGCUGACGAAUACUAAUAGAUCGAGGACUUAACCAU
rnacentral:rRNA from 1 species